rnacentral:lncRNA from 1 species
CUUCAUCCCCCAGGGGUGGCCACACGUGGUACCGCCCGGUCUCCUGGGGAACCGGACGCACCUUCAGUGCGCUCGGCCGCACCCCCUCCCCACCGGGCGGUGCCUGCCACUCCGCGGGUGGGGCGACCGACACCUGCAGAGGACGGGCUCCGAGCCUCCAGGAAGGGGCGCGGCUCCGGAGGCCCGUGUUUCUCCGCGGGGAAUGGAAACGCGCUCCCGGCCCGGCAGCGGACAGCGCUCGCCCGCCCGCCCGCCCGGGGAAGGUGGAGAAGAGUCUACUAUGUCCUCUUAUCCCAUGCUGCAAGCUGAGUUCUCCAGAAGCAGAUGCUGAGAUGGAGUUUCAGGUGCAAGAUGUUUAGGACAGAUUGACACUGCAAAGAAAAGGGGAAGGAAGCAGAAUUGGGCAAAGAAAGAAGUCGAACAGUGAUGGAGUUCUCAAGGAAACCUCAGCCAACUCAAGCAGGAAGAAGUGGAAUGAAUUGUGCAACAACAGAGUUGUCUUGCUUUGAGCUGAAUGGCUGAGUUUUUAUAUUGUCACAUGUCUCAUUCUCCAGUAGCCGGUUGAGAGUUGUGAGUCUAAGAGUGGCUCACGACCAGAGGCAAUGCAGCUCACCUCAGCUGAGUCAAGUUCUGGAGGAGUUUACAUUAAGAGGCUACCGACAGCCCUUUCCGAACCUGGGUAGCAAGUCUGUCCUUGAAGGUGGGGUCUGGGUGGUGCAUCCCCCUGUUUACCACAUCCCAUUUUCCUACAACCUCCUUUUAUUCUCUUUUGUAUAAGGCUGUCAUGAUCCCAUCCCUUCUUAUCUAUAUCCCAGUUCAAGGCAUGGAUCACAUUUACAACAUAGAUUAUGUAGUUCUGAAAACUGGGUGAGGUUCCCUUCAUACAGUCGUGAAUCUACCUGACUCCAAACAACUUGGCACCUGUUUUUACUCUCCCUUGACUCUAGGUUUGACACAAAGAAAGGGAGGGAGGGCUGAACCAUUUAGUUCAAUUUCUUUUACUUUAUGGCAGAGAAAAGUAUUCUCCAAACUGUCAGUGUUACUGAGAUUUUUAAAGCCCAAUUAAUAUUGUAUGAGCAAUGGUGUGUAAAUACUGAAAGUUUGAUCUAUUCUCUAGUUUCCUUCUAUUGAGAUUUCUGAGAAUGCCAGAAAUGUAUCCACAGUCCACAA